UACGUAGGUGGCGAGCGUUGUCCGGAUUUACUGGGCGUAAAGGGAGCGUAGGCGGACUUUUAAGUGAGAUGUGAAAUACUCGGGCUCAACUUGAGUGCUGCAUUUCAAACUGGAAGUCUAGAGUGCAGGAGAGGAGAAUGGAUUUCCUAGUGUAGCGGUGAAAUGCGUAGAGAUUAGGAAGAACACCAGUGGCGAAGGCGAUUCUCUGGACUGUGACUGACGCUGAGGCUCGAAAGCGUGGGGAGCGAACAGG
rnacentral:rRNA from 1 species